rnacentral:rRNA from 1 species
UACGUAGGGUGCGAGCGUUAAUCGGAAUUACUGGGCGUAAAGCGUGCGCAGGCGGUUCGUUAAGUCAGCUGUGAAAGCCCCGGGCUCAACCUGGGAAUUGCGGUUGAAACUGGCGAACUAGAAUCUGGCAGAGGGGGGUGGAAUUCCACGUGUAGCAGUGAAAUGCGUAGAGAUGUGGAGGAACACCGAUGGCGAAGGCAGCCCCCUGGGCUGAGAUUGACGCUGAGACGCGAAAGCGUGGGGAGCGAACAGG